UACGGAGGGUGCGAGCGUUGUUCGGAAUCACUGGGCGUAAAGGGCGCGUAGGCGGCCACCGCAAGUCGACUGUGAAAUCUCCGGGCUUAACUCGGAAAGGUCAGCCGAUACUGCGGGGCUAGAGUGCAGAAGGGGCAACUGGAAUUCUCGGUGUAGCGGUGUAAUGCGUAGAUAUCGAGAGGAACACCUGCGGCGAAGGCGGGUUGCUGGGCUGACACUGACGCUGAUUGUGCGAAAGCUAGGGGAGCGAACGGG
rnacentral:rRNA from 1 species